rnacentral:rRNA from 1 species
GCCUUACACAUGCAAGUCGAACGGCAGCGCGGACUUCGGUCUGGCGGCUAGCGGCGAACGGGUGAGUAAUACAUCGGAACGUCACCCUGUUGUGGGGGAUAACUAGUCGAAAGAUUAGCUAAUACCGCCAUACGACCUGCAGGGUGAAAGCGGGGGACCGUAAGGCCUCGCGCAGCAGGAGCGGCCGAUGUCUGAUUAGCUAGUUGGUGGGGUAAAGGCCCACCAAGGCGACGAUCAGUACCUGGUCUGACAGGACGAUCAGCCACACUGGGACUGACACACGGCCCACACUCCUACGGGAGGCAGCAGUGGGGAAUUUUGGACCAUGGGGGCAACCCUGAUCCCAGCAAUGCCGCGUGUGUGAAGAAGGCC